CAAAACAAAACAAAACAAAAAAAUCCCGAACGAAAGAAGAAGAAAAGAGUGAAGACGACGAAGAAACGCUGUUCAAUCCUUGCCCAAACGCUGUCCGUUGAAGAAACAGUGAAGAUUCAUGGCUGAUUGAGACGCCUCCUUCCGCAAGCAGAGAGAGAUGACCGGAUUUGAGACCUAAUUUCUCUGUUUCGUUUCAAUCCGAAUUCAAACCAACCGGAGCAAGACAAUCCGGACAUCCUAAUGUAGUAGCGCCGUAGCGAGAAUUGCAGCCGCAAGAAAUCCGAUUCAGAUUUAGGGUUUCCAGACGAUUCAUAACAAAUGUUCAACAAUGGCGCCUUCUAUGACAUCCUCGUCCACGCUAUGGAUUCCACUUACCGUCUCCACCGCUUCAUCCUCUCCCGCACUUCAUACUUCAGGCACAAAGCUUAUAACUUAUUAGCCAAGUAAUAGGAGCCUUUGUAUUCGAGUAAACAUCCAGCUUAUUGAAAUGAUCAUAAGGUUCAGGCUAGCUACCAUGGGUUUGAAAUGCCAAAGCCUCAUAGAAUCUAGGUAUUCCCUUAAGUUCUUACACAAUGGCCCCGAUACCUUAGAAGAGCUACUUGACAGGCAUGUAGUGAAAAAGGAAACCUAUGACGAUGACGGGGAUGAGAAUGAGUUGUUGAUUCGGCAAAGGCUAACGGGAACUCGACGUGAGGCAUUUAAUCUUUAUCGCGAUAUAAUUAGGGCCACUCGGUUCUUCACGUGGCCAGAUUCGAGAGGUGUGCUUUGGCGUGAUGUUUUGAGAGAAAAUGCAAGGAAGGAGUUUGAGGGGGCUCGUUUUGAGAAGGAUCCUGAGGUUAUAACUCGGUUGUUGAUUGGCGGGCAUGAUGCUGUUCAAUCGGCGAUAGAAAAGCUCAUUGAGAAACAACAGAUACAGAUUGAGAAGGAAAGACGAGAUAAAGAUCAUUGAUGAGUCUCACGAACGGCUUAAGAGAAAAUUAGUGUAGGAACUCACAAUUAACACAAGGAAUUAUCCCUCUUGUUGUUCAUUCUUGGAAGAUGGAAAUGGAAGGGGUACUUAAAAAGACGAAUCUACUUGUUUGCUAGUGAACUCCUUACUACUAAUCCAAUUUAAGUGAGGUACAUGAAUUGGUAGUUUAAUUAUGUAUUUUUAUUUUUAUUUUGUUAAUGAUGAUUCAUGCUAACUGGUAGUAGUAUUGUCAAGAAGAAGAUUCAGUCUUGGGGUUGUGAAAUCUUUAUCUUUUUUUAGGAAUCAAUAAUUUGUUUAUUUAGUGAAAAAUAUUCAUAAUUUAUAUUUCAUUUGCUAUAGUAACAUGUUCUUA